rnacentral:rRNA from 1 species
GACGAACGCUGGCGGCGUGCUUAACACAUGCAAGUCGAACGAAGAGCGAUGGAAGCUUGCUUCUAUCAAUCUUAGUGGCGCACGGGUGAGUAACGCGUAAUCAACCUUCCCUUCAGAGGGGGACAACAGUUGGAAACGACUGCUAAUACCGCAUACGAUCUAAUCUCAGCAUCGAGGAUAGAUUAAAGGUGGCCUCUACAUGUAAGCUAUCACUGAAGGAGGGGAUUGCGUCUGAUUAGCUAGUUGGAGGGGUAACGGCCCACCAAGGCGAUGAUCAGUAGCCGGUCUGAGAGGAUGAACGGCCACAUUGGGACUGAGACACGGCCCAGACUCCUACGGGAGGCAGCAGUGGGGAAACUUCCGCAAUGGACGAAAGUCUGACGGAGCAACGCCGCGUGAGUGAUGACGGCCUUCGGGUUGUAAAGCUCUGUUAAUCGGGACGAAAGGCCUUCUUGCGAAUAGUGAGAAGGAUUGACGGUACCGGAAGAGAAAGCCACGGCUAACUACGUG